UCUUCAUUCCUCGUACUCUCUCAUCGGUCAGAGAAGCGAGAGAGUGUGCGAAAUGAAGAGA
rnacentral:pre_miRNA from 1 species